CUCAGCUGACCGCAGCUGUGUUCUCUUUGAUUUAUGAGUGCCACAACACAGUUUGGGGUGCAAUCGCAAUAGAACCAGCGGAGCCCGUCUCUCGUGAAAUUGGCGCGGGCGAUGCAAGGGGUUUACUUUAAGGACUCGGUGGCACCCGAGUC
rnacentral:sRNA from 1 species